GGCUUCGUAACGCAACUAGUACAGCGUGCGCGUACAAAGCGUAGGUAUCAUUCAUGCGUGGGUUCGAAUCCCACUGAGGCUU
rnacentral:tRNA from 1 species